UAGCGCCGCUUCAUCCACACAGGAUGUCAACCUUCGGGUUAUCGGUGGGUAGUAGGGCGCUGUUUACCUCACGGAGCAGGGCUUCGGUCCUCGGCCUCGGGUUGGAGAGACCUCCGACCGACUGGGGACCUCCUGGGUGGCCCGGCACAUCCCAUGAAGACAUGUUCCGUUGGGGCAAGCGGUGCCGUCGGCCCAGGGCAAGCUGCCGUUCUUGGUGGUGCAGUGGUGGCCGCCCUCCUCGUGGCACCAGAGCUGGGAGCAGGGCUCGCUGUCCGACGUGUUGGGGCAGCGGAGGAACUCCUCUCCGAAGAUCUGUUGGCACUGGCGGUCCAGGCUGAAGGUGCGGCCGGGCAGCCCCCGGGGCAGCGGCAUGGCCGUCUCCGGGGCGUCCAGCAGGCAGUCUCCUGAGAGGGGUCAGGGGUAAAUGAGUGGACAGACUUCAGUCCAACACGGUCACGCAUGGGGCCUUUACUAUUCCUCCCAGUAUUCUAUAUAGUGACUAACAGACGAGUCAAAUAGUUGCUGCUAUUGUUUUUUUCUUUAUAGUGUAUUUUUUCUUUGAUACGUUUGGAUGUUGGAUAUUGUUGAAAGAAAUGGCUAAGACACUUUUUCAACUAAACCCUAAAGAGAUAAAUAAUAUACCCAAUCCUACAUGCGA